GGAAGCUGAGAUUCAGUGAAUUAUCUGAGGCCACUCGGUUCUGAGUGUCUGAACCAGGAUUUGAAGAGAGUCUGAACGGAAGCUGCUGCUUGCAGCAGUGAUGUCCUGCCUCAUCCUGUACCCCCAGGAAAGAAGAGACAGAACAGCAUGGCACCUAUGCUACUCACUGCAAGAUUCAGAACUGGCCUGUGGAAGAUGGGGUUGGCCUCUCUGGCCGUGCUCUCCCUAAGAAGAUGUUAGAUUUGGGGAAGCACAGAGAUUCUUUGCACUUGGCCUACAAUGUUACCUUCUGGGGAGACUUCUGCUGUUUCUUGAUGUCAAGAUGCCCAGUCCUUGGCAGGGGCGGUAGAAUUUGUUGUUUUGUAAACAAGACCUGUCAUUGGCCUCGUAAACAACAAACAGCUCACUA